rnacentral:lncRNA from 1 species
UGCAGAUUCUGUGCCAUUUUAGUUUGUUAGGUUACUUUCACUGCAGAUUCUGUGCCAUUUUAGUUUGUUAGGUUACUUUCACUGCAGAUUCUGUGCCACUUUAGUUUGUUAGGUCAUUUUCAUUGCAGAUUGUGUCAUUUUAGUUCGUUAGGUCACUUUCACUGCAGAUUCUGUCAUUUUAGUUCCUUAGGUUACUUUCACUGCAGAUUCUAUGCCACUUUAGAUCGUUAGGUCACUUUCAUUGCAGAUUCUGUCGUUUUAGUUCGUUAGGUCACUUUCACUGCAGAUUCUGUGCCAUUUUGGUUCGUUAGGUCACUUUCACUGCAGAUUCUGUGCCACUUUAGUUCGUUAGGUCACUUUCACUGCAGAUUCUGUGCCACUUUAGUUUGUUAGGUUUCUUUCACUGUAGAUUCUGUGCCAUUUUAGUUCGUUAGGUCACUUUCACAUCAGAUUCUGUGCCCCUUUAGUUCGUUAGGUCACUUUCACUGCAGAUUCUGUGCCAUUUUAGUUCGUUAGGUCACUUUCACUGCAGAUUCUGUGCCCCUUUAGUUCGUUAGGUCACUUUCACUGCAGAUUCUGUGCC